GACGUAGGGCGCGAGCGUUGUCCGGAAUUAUUGGGCGUAAAGAGCUCGUAGGCGGCUUGUCACGUCGGGUGUGAAAGACCGGGGCUUAACCCCGGUUCUGCAUUCGAUACGGGCUAGCUAGAGUGUGGUAGGGGAGGUCGGAAUUCCUGGUGUAGCGGUGAAAUGCGCAGAUAUCAGGAGGAACACCGGUGGCGAAGGCGGAUCUCUGGGCCAUUACUGACGCUGAGGAGCGAAAGCGUGGGGAGCGAACAGG
rnacentral:rRNA from 1 species